GCCAAGCGAUGGCGCGCUUAAGAAGAGCUCAUCUUUGCUCGCGAGAGAGACAGAGACAACGAAUGAGAAACGCGAGCGAGAGCGAAGAAAGAGUGCCAGGGAUUCCAACAUUUUUGCGCCAAGGGUGGAAAUUUUCCAGGCCGGGGUUUGGUGUGCUGUGGUACAGGGUCACGCAAAGCACACGCGGAGGCCACAAAUUCAUGAUCUCUUAACAAACGCGAAAAAAGCGCCAAGCCUUUUUAAAUUUAAACAUGGAGAAUAUGCUGCUGAUGCUUUCCAUCUUGA